rnacentral:rRNA from 1 species
UACGGAGGGUGCUAGCGUUGUUCGGAAUUACUGGGCGUAAAGCGCACGUAGGCGGCUUUGUAAGUUAGAGGUGAAAGCCCGGGGCUCAACUCCGGAAUUGCCUUUAAGACUGCAUCGCUCGAAUUGUGGAGAGGUAAGUGGAAUUCCGAGUGUAGAGGUGAAAUUCGUAGAUAUUCGGAAGAACACCAGUGGCGAAGGCGACUUACUGGACACAUAUUGACGCUGAGGUGCGAAAGCGUGGGGAGCAAACAGG